UACGUAGGCAGCAAGCGUUGUUCGGAAUUACUGGGCGUAAAGAGUGUGUAGGCGGUGCUCUAAGUCUGUUGUGAAAUCUCCCGGUUUAACUGGGAGGGUGCGGCGGAGACUGGAGUGCUAGAGUGUGGGAGGAGGUAAGCGGAAUUCCUGGUGUAGCGGUGAAAUGCGUAGAUAUCAGGAGGAACACCUGUGGUGUAGACAGCUUACUGGACCACGCUGACGCUGAGACAGAAAGCGUGGGGAUCGAACAGG
rnacentral:rRNA from 1 species